rnacentral:hammerhead_ribozyme from 1 species
GCACUGCUAAAGAGUCCAAAAAUGGGACGAAACGGUCGUCCAGUGC